rnacentral:rRNA from 1 species
AUACGGAGGAUCCGAGCGUUAUCCGGAUUUAUUGGGUUUAAAGGGUGCGCAGGCGGCCAUUUAAGUCAGCGGUUAAAUCGUGGGGCUCAACCCCAUUCUGCCGUUGAUACUGGGUGGCUUGAUUGCGGUCGAGGUUGGCGGAAUUCGUUGUGUAGCGGUGAAAUGCAUAGAUAUGACGAAGAACACCGAUUGCGUAGGCAGCUGACCAGACCGCAAAUGACGCUCAUGCACGAAAGUGCGGGGAUCGAACAGGAUUAGAUACCCUGGUAGUCCGCACAGUAAACGAUGAAUACUUGUUUUCGGCGAUAUAAUGUCAGUGGCUUAGCGAAAGCGUUAAGUUAUCCACCUGGGGAGUACGUUCGCAAGAAUGAAACUUAAAGGAAUUGACGGGG